rnacentral:rRNA from 1 species
CAGCGCCACAAGUGGCGAUCAUUUUUAUUUGGCCUAAAGCGUCCGUAGCUGGUUAAGUAAAUCUCUUGUGAAAUUGUUUAGCUUAACUAAACAGCGUGCAGGAGAGACUGCUUAGCUAGGGACCGGGAGGAGUCAGAGGUAUGCUGGGGGGAGCGGUAAAAUGCAAUAAUCCUCGGUAGACCACCUGUGGCGAAGGCGUCUGACUAGAACGGGUCCGACAGUGAGGAACGAAAGCCAGGGGAGCAAACCGGAUUAGAGACCCGAGUAGUC